UGUUGCUCAAACAACCACACGUGUUCC
rnacentral:piRNA from 1 species